rnacentral:rRNA from 1 species
GGCGGGGUAACGGCCCACCAAGGCGACGAUCCGUAGCUGGUCUGAGAGGACGAUCAGCCACACUGGGACUGAGACACGGCCCAGACUCCUACGGGAGGCAGCAGUGGGGAAUCUUGCGCUAAUGCGGGAAACCGUGACGCAGCGACGCCGCGUGGGGGAAGAAGGCCUUCGGGUUGUAAACCUCUUUCAGGAGGGACGAAGCUACUCGGGUUAAUAGCCC